UCGGAUCGAUGAUGACUCCCUCUAAAGCAUUCCUUGGAAAUCUGAACAAAAUGAGUGAGAACUCACUACCGUCUCCUCAUCGAAACUGAGGUCCG
rnacentral:snoRNA from 1 species